GGUACCCCGCCCUCGCACACCGAGGGCGGGGGACGGGGAAACAUUUCCCCAUCCGCCCCAUGAGGGGGCAGGGGGCGGGGCGGGGUAGCACCCCUAGGAAAACCUACUCUCAUUUUAACGCCCCCCCUCUCUCUCUCUCUCUCUCUCUCUCUCUCUCUCUCUCUCUCUCUCUCUCUCUCUCUCUCUCUCUCUCUCUCUCUCUCGCUGAAACCCUAGCUUCCUCUGCUGUUUGAAUCUUUGUCGCUCGUCCUGUCGUCUUCAUCAUCACUCUUUGUCGCUCCAUCGUCUUCUCGGUUUCUUCGGUCAUUUUUUGAUAUAUGCAAGUGUGUAUGCUGUUACCUUUGUUGUUUGUUGUUUUUGAUUUUUCUAGAUAUAUGCAAGUGUGUAUGUCGUUACCUUUGUUGUUUGUUAUUUUUGAUUUUUCUGGAUAUAUGCAAGUGUGUAUGCCGUUUGUGAUUUCUCUUGCUCGAGAUGUUCAUUUUGUGAAAAGUAGUUCAGAUCUCCGUCUAUCCUUUUUUUAUGGGUUUUUUAGGGUCAGAUUUGUGCUAGCAUCUGUUCAAGUUCAGAUCUGCAACAGUUUUUUUAGGGUUUUUUUCCUUUUAUUACUUUGUUGAUUUGGGUCUGUUUGGUUUUCAUUUCUUUGUGUCAUGAAGGAUUUUAUUACAAAAUCUAAUAGGUCAGCCUUAGAUCUCAGGGAUUUUGAUUUUGUGGUGCAUAAUUUUGAUGAAAAUUAUGUUGGGGGUCGGUCUUAAUUAAUUCUCAUGGGUUAUGUUUGUGUUGAACACUAUUUUUAUGCAAUGUCUGACAUGGGUAAGGCUUAUUUUCUCAAGUUUCUUUCUUAGAUUGUGCGUUUAUGUUUAUAUAUUACUUAUCUACGGUCUGAUAUGGGUUUGCUUUUAUACUCUGUUUGUUUUAAGCAGAUUUUAAUGUAGCUCUGGGUAAUUUUUUGUAUUUCGUAAAGAAUAGGAAGUCAUAUUUUGAAGUUAGGGUUUAGGUCAUUCUUUCUUUUUACAACUGCUUUGAGAUGAUCCUGAGUUACACAAGUAAUGUUUGAUGUUUUGCUUCAGGUGCUUCUGGGUGAUGUUGGAGCUGGGAAGUCUAGUUUAGUUUUGCGCUUUGUUAAAGGGCAAUUUAUGGAAUUUCAGGAAUCAACCAUAGGUGCUGCCUUUUUCUCACAAAUAUUAUGUCAUGAAAGCAGAAUUGAUAUUCCCUUAUAAAAGAGUAUUGAGAGAAAGGGAAGUCAUUAGAACAUUUUGCUUUGAAACUGGGCUGGUGCUAGCUCUGCCAUCUAGGCUUCUUCAUCCAUUACUUAUAUCCAAUUUUUUUUUUUUUUUUUCGAUGUGUCUGUAGGUGAAUUGAUGUACACUACAUACCAUGAUCUCUGUAGCACUGGACCAGUUCUCAGUUCAGGACAUUGUCCCAAUUCUUGUCAUUUUAGUGGAGAUUGUGUUGAUGGAAGGUGCCAUUGCUUUCUAGGAUUUCAUGGUCAUGACUGUAGCAAACGCUCUUGCCCCAUUAAUUGUAAUGGUUUUGUUCUUUCUAUUCGAG